GCCAGACUCCUACGGGAGGCAGCAGUGGGGGAUAUUGCACGAUGGGGGGAACCCUGAUGCAGCGACGCCGCGUGGGUGAAGGAGCGUUUCGGCGCGUAAAGCCCUAUCGGCAGGGAAGAAGGAGGACGGUACCUGACUAAGAAGCCCCGGCUAACUACGUGCCAGCAGCCGCGGUAAUACGUAGGGGGCAAGCGUUAUCCGGAUUUACUGGGUGUAAAGGGGGCGCAGACGGCAGCGCAAGCCAGGAGUGAAAGCCCGGGGCCCAACCCCGGGACUGCUCUUGGAACUGCGCGGCUGGAGUGCAGGAGGGGCAGGCGGAAUUCCUGGUGUAGCGGUGAAAUGCGUAGAUAUCAGGAGGAACACCGGUGGCGAAGGCGGCCUGCUGGACUGCGACUGACGUUGAGGCCCGAAAGCGUGGGGAGCAAACAGGAUUAGAUACCCGAGUAGUA
rnacentral:rRNA from 1 species